GCCCCGCUCGUCUAAUGGGAAGGCCGCUGCGUUACAAGCAGCAGACGGGAGUUCGAUUCUCUCGCGGGGUAC
rnacentral:tRNA from 3 species